rnacentral:rRNA from 1 species
GACGAACGCUGGCGGCGUGCUUAACACAUGCAAGUCGAACGGAAAGGCCCUGCUUUUGUGGGGUGCUCGAGUGGCGAACGGGUGAGUAGCACGUGAGUAACCUGCCCUUGACUUUGGGAUAACUUCAGGAAACUGGGGCUAAUACCGGAUAGGAGCUCCUGCUGCAUGGGGGGGGUUGGAAAGUUUCGGCGGUUGGGGAUGGACGCGCGGCUUAUCAGCUUGUUGGUGGGGUAGUGGCUUACCAAGGCUUUGACGGGUAGCCGGCCUGGGAGGGUGACCGGCCAAAUUGGGACUGAGAUACGGCCAAGACUCCUACGGGAGGCAGCAGUGGGGAAUAUUGCACAAUGGGCGGAAGCCUGAUGCAGCAACGCCGCGUGCGGGAUGACGGCCUUCGGGUUGUAACCCGCUUUCGCCUGUGACGAAGCGUGAGUGACGGUAAUGGGUAAAGAAGCACCGGCUAACUACGUG